UUAUGUAUUGUUCUAACCUCUAAUUUUAGUCAUUGACUAGCAUUCUCGUGUAGAAUGCCUCCUCUUACGAGGAUUCAUAACAGUGUCAUUUGCAUGCUGGUUAUCUUCCAUUCUAUAAUUGUAAUGAGUAGAAUGGUACGGUCUGAUAAUCGGUUACGCUUUCUAAGUGUGCUUUUGAUACUUCAUCAUUACUAUAGCCUAAGGCUAAUCGUAUUCCGAAACUACGUGGUGAAAACCACAUCUGGAUGCUUACUUAGCUUGUCUUCGUAUACCAUCCGUCAGCGCCUUCGGGAUGAAGCUGAUAAACUUAUGAACUCCAUGUGGUGGAUCACUCGGCUCACGUAUCGAUGAAGAGUGCAGCAAACUGUGUUAAACAAUGUGAAACGCAGACUGCUUCGAUCAUCUGAUUCUUGAACGCAUAUUGCGGCUUUGGGCUUGUCCAUUGCCACGUUCGAUCAAGUGUCGGCUUUUAUCUAUCAUGACGCUUAAUAAGUCAUGGAUUGAGGAGUAUACCAUAGCUGCAUGUUUUCUCUUUUGGAGGUGGCUGUAUUGGUUCUCCUUUAAUUAUGAAGUAUAUGUAUUAUCUAACUUUAAUAACCUUCUGCAUACCAGGGUGUGUGGCUUAGUAUAAAAGUAACGCUGUACUGGUGUGCCUAAGGGUUAGAUAAUUCACUUUCAAUUUUUACCUGACCUUGAUUCGAUCGUGGAUACCG
rnacentral:misc_RNA from 1 species